UAGAACAAGAUGGAGAAGCAGGGCACGUGCAACACUAACUUCAGAGAUAAUCACAUUCUCUUAUGUUUCACCAUUAGUUAGUAUUUCAUGUGCCCCUCUUCCCCAUCAUGACUGC